AUUGAACGCUGGCGGCAUGCCUUACACAUGCAAGUCGAACGGCAGCACGGGCUUCGGUCUGGUGGCGAGUGGCGAACGGGUGAGUAAUGCAUCGGAACGUACCCGGGAGUGGGGGAUAACUAUCCGAAAGGAUAGCUAAUACCGCAUAUUCUGUGAGCAGGAAAGCAGGGGAUCUUCGGACCUUGUGCUCCUGGAGCGGCCGAUGUCAGAUUAGCUAGUUGGUGGGGUAAAGGCCUACCAAGGCGACGAUCUGUAGCGGGUCUGAGAGGAUGAUCCGCCACACUGGAACUGAGACACGGUCCAGACUCCUACGGGAGGCAGCAGUGGGGAAUUUUGGACAAUGGGCGCAAGCCUGAUCCAGCCAUGCCGCGUGAGUGAAGAAGGCCUUCGGGUUGUAAAGCUCUUUCGGCCGGGAAGAAAUCGUACAGGUUAAUACCCUGUGCGGAUGACGGUACCGGCAUAAGAAGCACCGGCUAACUACGUGCCAGCCGCCGCAGUAAUAC
rnacentral:rRNA from 1 species